AUACGUAGGGGGCGAGCGUUGUCCGGAAUGAUUGGGCGUAAAGGGCGCGUAGGCGGCCCGGUAAGUCUGGAGUGAAAGUCCUGUUUUUGAGAUGGGAAUUGCUUUGGAUACUGUCGGGCUUGAGUGCAGGAGAGGUAAGUGGAAUUUCCAGUGAAGCGGUGAAAUGCGUAGAGAUUGGGAGGAACACCAGUGGCGAAGGCGACUUACUGGACUGUAACUGACGCUGAGGCGCGAAAGUGUGGGGAGCAAACAGGAUUAGAUACCCUGGUAGUCCACACUGUAAACGAUGAAUGCUAGGUGUAGGGGGUAUCGACCCCUUCUGUGCCGCAGUCAACACAAUAAGCAUUCCGCCUGGGGAGUACGGCCGCAAGGUUGAAACUCAAAGGAAUUGGCGGGG
rnacentral:rRNA from 1 species